UGGGGAAUUUUGGACAAUGGGCGAAAGCCUGAUCCAGCAAUGCCGCGUGUGUGAAGAAGGCCUUCGGGUUGUAAAGCACUUUUGUCCGGAAAGAAAUCCUUGGCUCUAAUACAGUCGGGGGAUGACGGUACCGGAAGAAUAAGCACCGACUAACUACGUGCCAGCAGCCGCGGUAAUACGUAGGGUGCAAGCGUUAAUCGGAAUUACUGGGCGUAAAGCGUGCGCAGGCGGUUUGCUAAGACCGAUGUGAAAUCCCCGGGCUCAACCUGGGAACUGCAUUGGUGACUGGCAGGCUAGAGUAUGGCAGAGGGGGGUAGAAUUCCACGUGUAGCAGUGAAAUGCGUAGAGAUGUGGAGGAAUACCGAUGGCGAAGGCAGCCCCCUGGGCCAAUACUGACGCUCAUGCACGAAAGCGUGGGGAGCAAACAGGAUUAGAUACCCUGGUAGUCCACGCCCUAAAACGAUGUCAACUAGUUGUUGGGGAUUCAUUUCCUUAGUAACGUAGCUAACGCGUGAAGUUGACCGCCUGGGGAGUACGGUCGCAAGAUUAAAACUCAAAUGAAUUGACGGGGUCAUAGCUGUUUCCU
rnacentral:rRNA from 1 species